GAUGAACGCUGGCGGCGUGCCUAAUACAUGCAAGUCGAGCGAACGGACGAGAAGCUUGCUUCUCUGAUGUUAGCGGCGGACGGGUGAGUAACACGUGGAUAACCUACCUAUAAGACUGGGAUAACUUCGGGAAACCGGAGCUAAUACCGGAUAAUAUUUUGAACCGCAUGGUUCAAAAGUGAAAGACGGUCUUGCUGUCACUUAUAGAUGGAUCGCGCUGCAUUAGCUAGUUGGUAAGGUAACGGCUUACCAAGGCAACGAUGCAUAGCCGACCUGAGAGGGUGAUCGGCCACACUGGAACUGAGACACGGUCCAGACUCCUACGGGAGGCAGCAGUAGGGAAUCUUCCGCAAUGGGCGAAAGCCUGACGGAGCAACGCCGCGUGAGUGAUGAAGGUCUUCGGAUCGUAAAACUCUGUUAUUAGGGAAGAACAUAUGUGUAAGUAACUGUGCACAUCUUGACGGUACCUAAUCAGAAAGCCACGGCUAACUACGUG
rnacentral:rRNA from 1 species